AGUGUAAAGCAGUACGCUUGUUGAAUGCGCUAACAGUUAUAUUCGGGUCACAGAUACAUAACAAGAGAAGAGGAGUUUUUUUACCUAACAGUUGCAUUCCUGUGCAUACCAGCUUUCAUUAUCAUGUGUAUGGAUGUCUCCUGGUACUACAUAGAUACAUCAUGGUGCGAUCAAUCUGGGUUCCGUUGGUAGAUGAGAGUGAUGCUCAGUGUAAUAUCUUUGGGAACACUAGGUGUUGUUUGUCGGACUUUCCAAUACAUCAUAUUCGGGAUAAAACCAGAACUGGCUUCAACAAGCACAACAGAAAUCCAUCUAGAAGUCCUCCGUUUACAUCGGGAUUGUUGCAUGUUCAGUAUGACGGAGGCAUUCCUUGAAUCUGCUCCUCAGUUGGCACUGAAAUUGUAUAUCGCACAUUAUCAACCAUUCUCCUAUUCAAGACGUAGGUGUCAUUCACUCAUAUCAUUUUAAUAUGAAUGCGCAUUUGAUUUAUAUUUUAACGUUAAUAGAUCCCCUUUUAUGCAUGUAUUUGAUUUUUAUAAUAAUUAAAAAAACUGAUUUAGAAUUUUCUAAAAAUAAUUAAAAAACGGACAAAGAAAUAUAGCAGAGUGGAAAGAGAAUAAACGUAUCCAGUGAAGAA